rnacentral:tRNA from 1 species
GGUUGUAGCUCAGUGGUAGAGUGCUUCCCUAAUGUGUGAGGCACUGGGUUCGAUCCUCAGCACCA